rnacentral:piRNA from 1 species
UUUGCAACUCAUCAGAUUGUUUGCACAGG